rnacentral:rRNA from 1 species
GAUGAACGCUGGCGGCGUGCCUAAUACAUGCAAGUCGAGCGAACGGACGAGAAGCUUUCUUCUCUGAUGUUAGCGGCGGACGGGUGAGUACCACGUGGAUAACCUACCUAUAAGACUGGGAUAACUUCGGGAAACCGGAGCUAAUACCGGAUAAUAUUUUGAACCGCAUGGUUCAAAAGUGAAAGACGGUCUUGCUGUCACUUAUAGAUGGAUCCGCACUGCAUUAGCUAGUUGUUAAGGUAACGGCUUGCCAAGGCAACGAUGCAUAGCCGACCCGACAGGGUAAUAGGCCAGACUGGAAGUGAGACACAGUCCAGACUCCUACAGCGGCAAGCAGUAGGGAAUCUUCCGCAAAGGGCGAAAGCCUGACGGAGCAACGCCGCUCUAGUGAUGAAGGUCUUCGAAUCGUAAAACUCUGUUGUUAGGGAAGAAGAUAUGUGUAAGUAACUCUGCACAUCUUGACGGUACCUAAUCAGAAAGCGACGGCUAAAUACGUG